CGAGAAGUCGAGCUUCGGCCCGAUGGAAAGUGGCGAAAGGGUGAGUAACGCGUGGGUAAUUUGCCUCUGAGAUGGGGAUAACAACUCGAAAGGGUUGCUAAUACCAAAUACGAUUCGGUUGACUUCGGUCGGCCGAAUGAAAGGUGGCUUCGGCUGCCGCUCGGAGAUGAGCCCGCGUCCUAUUAGCUAGUUGGUGAGGUAAUGGCUCACCAAGGCAACGAUGGGUAGCUGGUCUGAGAGGAUGGUCAGCCACAUUGGGACUGAGACACUGCCCAAACUCCUACGGGAGGCUGCAGUCGAGAAUAUUUCGCAAUGGGGGAAACCCUGACGAUGCGACGCCGCGUGGGGGAUGAAGGCCUUCGGGUUGUAAACCUCUGUGUUAUGGGAUGAAUUGGUCGUUGCCGAUAAAGCAACGUUUUUGACGUUACCAUAGUAGAAAGCCCCAGCUAACUACGUGCCAGCAGCUGCGGUAAUACGUAGGGGGCAAGCGUUGUCCGGAAUCACUGGGCGUAAAGCGCGCGUAGGCGGUGGAGUAAGUCAGACGUGAAAGGGUUCGGCUCAACCGAGCCAUUGCGUUUGAAACUGCCUCACUUGAGUCUAGAAGAGGAAAGUGGAAUGUAUGGUGUAGCGGUGGAAUGCUUAGAUAUCAUAUAGAACACCCGUGGCGAAGGCGGCUUUCUGGUCUAAGACUGACGCUCAUGCGCGAAAGUUUGGGGAGCAACCGGGAUUAGAUACCCCGCUAGUCCUUACUGUAAACGAUGGGUACUAAGUGUAGGGGGUGUUGAUUC
rnacentral:rRNA from 1 species